rnacentral:sRNA from 1 species
GAUCGUGUGAACUGCGAAGAUAUAUACGC